AGAGUUCGUAUCCUGGCUCAGGACGAACGCUGCGGCGUGCUUAACACAUGCAAGUCGAACGGGCCGUCCUGUUUUUGGGGCGGGUUGAGUGGCGAACGGGUGAGUAUCACGUGAGUAACCUGCCCUCCUCUCCUGGAUAACCGCUUGAAAGGGCGGCUAAUACGGGGUGGUCCGGUUGGUCCGCAUGGGCUGGUCGGGAUAGUUUCAUCUUCGGGUGUUUCGGUGGGGGAUGGGCUCGCGGCCUAUCAGCUUGUUGGUGGGGUGAUGGCCUACCAAGGCGGUGACGGGUAGCCGGCCUGAGAGGGUGGGCGGCCACACUGGGACUGAGACACGGCCCAGACUCCUGCGGGAGGCAGCAGUGGGGGGUAUUGCACAAUGGGCGGAAGCCUGAUGCAGCGACGUCGCGUGAGGGAUGGAGGCCUUCGGGUUGUGAACCUCUGUUUCCGGUGGUGAAGGCCCUGCCCUUGGUGGUGGGGUUGACGGUAGCCGGGUAUGAAGCGCCGGCUAACUACGUG
rnacentral:rRNA from 1 species